AACGCUAGCUACAGGCUUAACACAUGCAAGUCGAGGGGAAACGAUAUUGGAAGCUUGCUUCCGAUAGGCGUCGACCGGCGCACGGGUGAGUAACGCGUAUCCAACCUGCCCAUCACUUGGGGAUAACCUUGCGAAAGUAAGACUAAUACCCAAUGACGUCUCUAGAAGACAUCUGAAAGGGAUUAAAGAUUUAUCGGUGAUGGAUGGGGAUGCGUCUGAUUAGCUUGUUGGCGGGGUAACGGCCCACCAAGGCGACGAUCAGUAGGGGUUCUGAGAGGAAGGUCCCCCACAUUGGAACUGAGACACGGUCCAAACUCCUACGGGAGGCAGCAGUGAGGAAUAUUGGUCAAUGGACGAGAGUCUGAACCAGCCAAGUAGCGUGCAGGAUGACGGCCCUAUGGGUUGUAAACUGCUUUUAUAAGGGAAUAAAGUGAGUCUCGUGAGACUUUUUGCAUGUACCUUAUGAAUAAGGACCGGCUAAUUCCGUGCCAGCAGCCGCGGUAAUACGGAAGGUCCGGGCGUUAUCCGGAUUUAUUGGGUUUAAAGGGAGCGUAGGCCGGAGAUUAAGCGUGUUGUGAAAUGUAGACGCUCAACGUCUGCACUGCAGCGCGAACUGGUUUCCUUGAGUACGCACAAAGUGGGCGGAAUUCGUGGUGUAGCGGUGAAAUGCUUAGAUAUCACGAAGAACUCCGAUUG
rnacentral:rRNA from 1 species